UACGUAGGGAGCAAGCGUUUGUCCGGAAUCAUUGGGCGUAAAGCGCGCGUAGGCGGCCUCAUAAGUCCGUUGUGAAAGUCAAAGGCUCAACCUUUGAAAGCCGAUGGAUACUGUGAGGCUAGAGUCCGGAAGAGGCGAGUGGAAUUCCUGGUGUAGCGGUGAAAUGCGCAGAUAUCAGGAAGAAUAUCCGUGGCGAAGGCGGCUCUCUGGGACGGUACUGACGCUGAGACGCGAAAGCGUGGGGAGCGAACAGG
rnacentral:rRNA from 1 species